rnacentral:lncRNA from 1 species
AAUAAUUUCAUCAUAACUUUUCUGAUAUGUAUAUAUAGGCAUGCAUAAAAUUGGAUUUAGUUAAAUGUUGAGACAUUUAUGAAAAAGUUGAUACAAUGGACACAAAAAAUGAUGUUUACUCAUAUAUUUUAGAUAUUAAUUUGUAAUAUAUUGUUUUUUGUUGUUUCAUAUAAAGUAUUUAUUAUCUCGAAAAUGUUUGUAGAAUGCAAACUACUAAACACCAAUGAGCAAAUCCCUCAAAAAAAAAAAAAAACUCACCAAUGAGGAAAAGAAAAUUAAUUAACCCUUUAAAAAAAAUUAAUUGCACGUUGUACAACCACU